rnacentral:rRNA from 1 species
GGAGUCUGGACCGUGUCUCAGUUCCAAUGUGACCGUUCAUCCUCUCAGACCGGUUACCGAUCGUCGGCUUGGUAGGCCGUUACCUUACCAACUACCUAAUCGGACGCAAACCCCUCUCAAAGCGAGAAAUCUUUAAUACAAUCACCAUGCGAUGACCGUACAACAUUCGGUAUUAGCAGUCCUUUCGAACUGUUGUCCCCAUCUUUGCGGCAGAUUACCUACGCGUUACUCACCCGUUUGCCACUGAACCCGAAGGUUCCGUUCGACUUGCAUGUGUUAAGCACGCCGCCAGCGUUGUC